CCUACGGGUGGCAGCAGUGAGGAAUAUUGGUCAAUGGACGAGAGUCUGAACCAGCCAAGUAGCGUGAGGGAGGACGGCACUAUGGGUUGUAAACUUCUUUUAUAUGGGAAUAAAGUGUGGCACGGGUGGGAUGAUGAAUGUACCAUAUGAAUAAGGAUCGGCUAACUCCGUGCCAGCAGCCGCGGUAAUACGGAGGAUGCGAGCGUUAUCCGGAUUUAAUGGGAUUAAAGGGAGCGUAGGGGGGUUGUCAAGUCCGUUGUGAAAGUUGGGGGGUCAACCGGCAACUUGCAGUUGAAACUGGCAGUCUCUAGUUCAGCAGAGGUGUGCGGAAUGCGUGGUGGAGCGGUGAAAUGCUUAGAUAUCACGAAGAACUCCGAUUGCGAAGGCAGCUCACCGGACUGCAACUGACACUGAGGCUCGAAAGGGUGGGUAUCAAACAGGAUUAGAUACCCUUGUAGUC
rnacentral:rRNA from 1 species